UACGAAGGGGGCUAGCGUUGCUCGGAAUUACUGGGCGUAAAGGGUGUGUAGGCGGGUCGUCAAGUUGGGGGUGAAAGCCCAGGGCUCAACCCUGGAACUGCCUUCAAAACUGGCGACCUAGAGUAUGGUAGAGGUGUGUGGAACUCCGAGUGUAGAGGUGAAAUUCGUAGAUAUUCGGAAGAACACCAGUGGCGAAGGCGACACACUGGGCCAUUACUGACGCUGAGGCUCGAAAGCGUGGGGAGCAAACAGG
rnacentral:rRNA from 1 species